UCGAAGAAUUCAUUCUUCUUCUUCUUUCUUUCCUCUUUCCUCUUAUGUUUCUCCUCUGUCUCUCUUAUUCUUCGUUCUUCCUUCUAUCGAUUUCAGUUUAGAAGAUUUGAGUUUUAUAAGAGAUGGUGGUGGUGUUAAUUUGGAUUGAUUAAGCUUUGGAGGAGAAGAAAUUGAUGUUGUUGUGAAUCUGAAGAAGAGAUGAACUGAGUUAGGGUUCUUGAGACAAUUUGGGAAAUUAUAUGGAUUUGAUUAAUCCAAUGUUUGAUAUGAGUUGCUAAUAUAUGUUAAAGGAUGCGGUGAUUGUUAAUUUGGUGAUGUGGAGUAGAUAUGAAAAUGAAUCAAGGGUUAAGGUUUCUCAAAGAAUGAUUAGAAGAUGAAAUCGAUGUUCUAAGAUGUUGUUACGAUAUGGGUUUGAGAUGAAUUCAGAGUUGAGUUGGAUAAUUGAUUAAAAUUGAUAGUUAGGGUUUUCUUUAUGUUGCAUUGAAGAAAUUGGGAAUUGGCUGUGAUGAACUGUGGAAGGGUUAGAUGGUGAUGCAUUGAGUGGAAUCAGUCUAAAGAAGGGGUUGAUUUCAAUUGGUGGAGAGAGUCUUUUUGAGGUAAUUUACUUCUUAAUAUCUCAGUAAAGCUUUUUGAUUUCAUUAAAUGAAUUAUGAGUUAUGGGUUCAUGAGGAUGUAAUAAAGUGAGAUUAAGAUGAUUAUAAAAUGGAACUCUAAUUGUGGAUAUGAAGAUGUUGUUGAAUUGUGAACAACUGUAGGGAAUGGUUGUUCUUUGUGGUGGUAUGUGUGUGGUAUGAGCUGUGGUUGUAGUUUAGGUCAAUAUAUAGUGAAAUGAUGGUGUUAUUUGUCUGAAUGGGUUGAGUUGAUGAUGUUGAGAUGCAACUACAGGUGGUGGUGGUUUAUGAGUUACAAGGCUUUGUAUUGGAGUUGUGUUAAAUUACAGGGAGUGGAGUUUUGAACCAGCAUUGAUGUAAAAUCUCAGAUAUGAGUGAUGGAGUGAGUUGAUAAUGGGAUUACAAUUAUGUUUGGUUGUUGUAGAUGGUGAAUGAGUUAGGUUAUGCAUGAACUUGUCUGGGAAGAAGUUUGGUUAAUGAAUGAGUUAAUCAGGGUAAUGAUUCUGCAGCUGUUAGUGUAUGAUUGUGCAACUAAGAAGGAUUAACAUGAUCUAUGGGGAAGAUAUUUGGUAGUGGUGGUUUCGUAUAUUGAACUGAAGCUGAAUUGAGUAUUCACAGGUGUAGGGCCAGCUGGUGUUGUAGUUGCAGUUGCUGGAGUUUAAUUGAUACAAUGGGGAUCUUUUUGAGAGUUCAAUAGUUGUUGGUGGUGUUUAUAGGAUAUAUGUAUUGUUGUGUGUGUUGGUGGUUGACUGGAUAUGUAACCGAAGUAUUGGAAUGAUGGAUUAUAUGUUUGUAUGGAGUUGAACUUCUCUUGUAGAAGCUUGGAAAAGCUGCAAUUGCAGUUAGUCUAUAUUAACAUCGAUCGAUUCGAAAGAUGAACCAGUGGAUCGUGGAUCUCGAGGUAGGCGUGGAUUGUCAUCAAAAGAGUUUCAGAGACAGAUCAGAGUUGCGCAGCGAAAGCUUCAAGGGUUGAUUUCGUUAGUUGGAUAACUUCUACUAUAUUUAUUAUAUUGUCUAUUGUAUAUGUAAACCUAACGACUAUUGUAUAUGUAUCA